CGAUGGGUAGCCGGCCUGAGAGGGUGAACGGCCACAAGGGGACUGAGACACGGCCCUUACUCCUACGGGAGGCAGCAGUGGGGAAUAUUGGACAAUGGACCAAAGUCUGAUCCAGCAAUUCUGUGUGCACGAUGACGGUCUUAGGAUUGUAAAGUGCUUUCAAUCGGGAAAAAGAAAGUGAUGGUACCGAUAGAAGAAGCGACGGCUAAAUACGUGCCAGCAGCCGCGGUAAUACGUAUGUCGCAAGCGUUAUCCGGAUUUAUUGGGCGUAAAGCGCGUCUAGGCGGUUUGGUAAGUCUGAUGUGGAAAUGC
rnacentral:rRNA from 1 species